UUACGUAUGUGUUCGUGCUCAAAUAUGAGCCU
rnacentral:sRNA from 1 species